rnacentral:lncRNA from 1 species
GUUAUGAUAGCUCAGUUCACUCAUUAAAAGAUCCUGAUGAGAAGCAAUGUGUUCUUUCCCAGUAAAAAGGCUCAGAGCAGCAUGCAUAUAACAUGCAUUGUGGUUUCUUGCAUGCCUAGGGCUUCUAUUGUUUCAGAAGUGCUGCUUGAUAGAGCUGGCUAUGAAGAGAGAUCCUUGGAUAGCCUUCAUAUUCAGAUUAAUUCCUACCACAUAAAGGUUCAAGGGCAGAGAAAAUGGGAGCAAGGCAUGGAUAAAAGGGAAUGCAGGCAUCAGGAUGAGAUUUGUUCUUGCCAAGGAGUGGGAAGAAUAUAGCAGGGGAAGUUUGGGAGUGCAUGUCAUUGGAGGGCGGGCACAUUUCCUGUGUAGCCUAGUGCUGAAUCCACUAGAUAGCUGACCCACCUGAAUACUGGGCAAUGAUUGCUGAACAUGCAGAAGUGGCUGUUAGAGAAGGCUAAGUUUGGUAAGGAGGGAUUUCUGGUCAGAAGACUGCCUGAUUAGAAAGGUUGCCACCAGAAGUCAAUAGAAGAAAGAAUGAAUUUUUGCCCCUUAAAUUGAACAGCUAUCUUGUUGGCUAAGGGGUCCUGCUUCAUCUGCAGGAUGAAUAUUCCCCCUUCCUUUUUCUACCAGAGGAAAAAGUUUGAGCAUCUUGGGAUUCUCCUGAGCUCCUGCAUGGAAAAUCAGACAUCCUACCCCACAAAAUUAUGAUCAAGCAGUCAGUUUCAUAGUGGGAAUGCCAUGACUCCUUCUGUUGUGCAACUUGCUUCUUGGGCUCAGUCAGGCUGGCUGCUGGCUGUAGUUGACCAGUAGGCUAUGAAUUAUUCUGUCAAGUGUCUCUGUACUGAUCUCUCUAAUUUCUUGGUGAUUUUGAGGGUCUCCUCUUGAUUCUCCUUCAACUUCCUUGAGUUGAAUUGGCCCAUGACCCCUGGCUCUUGAGUGCGCUCAUGUGGUAGGCACUCUAUUGCCGAGGGGUUAUGAUAAAGUGGCAUCUCUCAGAGUAUCACAUGGUCAAUAGAAACAGUUAUUUGUUUGACAUGCCCAUGGAUUGAGCCUUAGCUAUCCCACUGCCUUCCUUCCUCCGGUCUUCUCCCGACUAUGCACAUAUUCUUUCCUUCUACUCAGCUAAGGAUGGAAGAGUUUCCCAGGUACCCUGACAAAUCAACAUUCAGUAACAGACAAAGCAAGUGCUUACUCAGUUUUUACUAGAGGCAAAGCUCCACUCCAAGAUGGAGUUGGGGUUUUGUGAAGUUUGGGCUGCCAUAAUAAAACUCCAUAGACUGAGAAUCUUUAAAACAGAGAUUUAUUUUCUCAUCAUUUUGUAUUUUGGCAGUCUUGAGAUCAGAGUGAUAAGAUGGCUGUGCUCUGGUAAGGGUUGUCUUCUUGGUUUAUAGAUACAACUGGUGUAUCUACUAAUAUCUCAGUUUUACUAAUGACAUAAAGGAGCUAUAGGACGGUUGAGAAAUAUGGUUGUAUUUAUACAUCUGGGAAGCUGCAGCACUCAAGUUUGAAUAUACAUAGAUUUGAGGCUUAGUAGUGCUUACUAUCCCAUCUUAUGCUCUUCAUGUCCAGUCUCAUCCAGUGUCCUCUGGUCCUCAGUUGUACUAUGGCGAGCAAUGUACCCCACUAGCCCAUGUGUUAAGGCUUGGCCUCCAGUGAACUACUAUUGGGAGGUGGUAAACACGUGAAGGGGUCUUAAGGUCAUUAGAGUUUUGUCCUUGAAUUAGAUAAUGGGAAUCAUUUCUUCUGUUCCCCUUUCUCUUCUUUGUUCUCAACCAUGAGGUGAAUGAGCCUCCUCUAAACAUUCCUACCAUGAUUUACUAUCUCAGCCAAAGCAAUAGGGUCUGGACUGAAGGCUCCAAAAGGCAGAGCCAAAAUAACUGUUUCCCUUGAAAGUCAAUUACCUCAGGGAUUCUUUAUAGAAUUAGAAAGUUGACAGACUGUCAUCACUCAGUGGAAGG